UGGGGAAUAUUGCACAAUGGGGGAAACCCUGAUGCAGCGACGCCGCGUGAACGAAGAAGGUAUUCGUAUCGUAAAGUUCUGUCCUAUGGGAAGAUAAUGACAGUACAAUAGAAGAAAGCUCCGGCUAAAUACGUGCCAGCAGCCGCGGUAAUACGUAUGGAGCGAGCGUUGUCCGGAAUUAUUGGGCGUAAAGGGUACGCAGGCGGUUUAAUAAGUCGAAUGUUAAAGAUCGGGGCUCAACCCCGUAAAGCAUUGGAAACUGAUAAACUUGAGUAGUGGAGAGGAAAGUGGAAUUACUAGUGUAGUGGUGAAAUACGUAGAUAUUAGGAGGAAUACCAGUAGCGAAGGCGACUUUCUGGACACAAACUGACGCUGAGGUACGAAAGCGUGGGGAGCAAACAGG
rnacentral:rRNA from 1 species